rnacentral:misc_RNA from 1 species
UUUCCGUAGGUGAACCUGCGGAAGGAUCAUUCAUAAUAAAGUGUUUUAUGGCACUUUUUAAAAAUCCAUAUCCACCUUGUGUGCACUGUUAGAUCUCGUCCAUCUUGGCGAGAUUUUUAUACAUCACCUCAUUCUUUAACUAAUUUGUCUGAAAAUUAUUAUGACUAUUUAAACCAAAAUACAACUUUCAACAACGGAUCUCUUGGCUCUC